rnacentral:lncRNA from 1 species
UCUCGAAGAAGACUCUGUCAUAAGCCAAAUGACCCCUCUGAAGGGUCAAGGAUCAAAAUGAGCGUAUAUAUCAGAUAUACUUGUUACAAAACUAGCCUAUUUACAAAUACAACAUAUUUUGCACAUAUAGCCUAUUUUACAAAAGAAUACAGAAGAAUAAAGAAAUUACAGAAUUAGCCACAAUUAAGGAAAUGACCAAUUAUUAGGCUCAGAAUUAGAAUAUCAUCAUAGCCUAUAUCUCAACAACAGAAUUAGCCACAAUUAAGGAAAUGACCAAUUAUUAGGCUCAGAAUUAGUAUAUCAUCAUAGCCUAUAUCUCAACACCUAGCUUGUUUGCUUUGCCUAAUAAAGAUCAAGUAGCUGUUUAGUUUUCCCUAGAAAUGCUAAAGUAGCAAAAGUUUUAGUAAAAACGAUUUAUUUUCAUUAAUCAGAAAAAUGAAAAGACUCCAAUUAAGUAUUGAAUUUGAAAAGGUCCUUCACCAUAUUAAGCCUUAAAUUUCUCUAUACAUAUAUCCACAACCAUAUCAUUCAGCUUGCUUUGAUAUAUGUAAGUAGACUUAAUGCCUUUUUGUUUUCAACCAAAUAUUUCUUAUUUCUAAUUCUUUUCUUUUGUCCACUAGAAAUAUUAAUGGUAAUCUCAUGUUUUAUUAUAGGUUCAAGAUAUGACUAUGGUGCUGCCGUCUUCUUAAUUUAGUAGUUCACAAUUCAUGUGCUUCAGUUGUGCCACCAUAGCAUCCUUGAUCAAAUGCCAAGGCAUUAUGUGCAAGUGCAGUGUAAGAAACUAUUGCACCAAAACCUUCGGUAGUUUGUAACUAUCUGCACUCUGCAUUUGUUCAGAAUAGUGGUUGUAUCUUUUCUCUACAUGUUUGCAGAGGAUGUAAACAUUGUAAAGAAUCAAGUUUUUGUGCAAUCAAAAAAAUUUUCUACAUGUAUUUUUCUAUAUUACUGGUAAUUCUCUAUUUUGUUUUUAUAGGUUCAAGAAAUGGCUGAAGUUUUAUAUACAACCUUUCUAUAGGUCCCAGAUAUUUCUAUUAUUUUUUUUUGGAAAGAAAAAAGAAAGAAUCCAACUAGCUCAUCGAGUUUCAAUUUAGUUACAAUAGAGGUUAAAUUUAGUUCGUGCACUUGUAUCUUAUGCCAUUUUGCAAUCUUAUGGUAUAGAAAUUAGUUGAUUCUUUCAUAUAUUAUUUUUGCAUACUAGAGGUUUAGUUUUAUUUUUUGAAAAGAAAGUCGGCAACAUAAUAUUUGGACUAACUAUGUUAACAUCGAGAUUAAGCCGAUGAAUCGUGAAAAUUAUAGAGAGAGAAGAAGGAGUAGGUGAAAAGUCUCUGGAACUUCAAAGAGAAAAGUUUUAUUCAACCGAGAAUGAAAAACAUACAAAUGAAAUCCGGGGAUCCCAAAAUAUCUAGGGACCCCAAUAUAUAAAAGUACAAAUGGAGCGGGUCAAGGACACAGAACGAAUGGGGCUGAAACUUGGGCUCAGAUAUGACUCAAGUAUAUUGGGCUCGGAGAGGCCCAAAUGUAAGACAUUCAUCACUGCCUAGUUUUGUAUACAAACAAAUACAAUACAUAUACACUAUGUAUACACUUCAUAUAUUAUGUAACAUCUUGUAUCUCAACACCCCCCCCUCAAGUUGGAGGGGGG